GGAAAAUUGAACUGAUGAUAAUAAGAGCUAGCUGGGCUCCUUCAGAAAUCAUUUCUGGGUUUGAUCGAAAAGACCUCAAUCAUUUACCUUAAUCUUUCUUUACCCUAUACUCUUCUUCUCUUUACUCUGAAUCUUUCUUCAAUGGCUGUGUAAUUGCUCUGCCUCUGCAAUUUCCAACUCAAGCCUGUAUCAUUAAAAACUCCUCCUACUUAACAAAAUAAAAAUGAAAACUCAAAAGCCCCAAAAACCCUCUCUCUAUCUCCUUCUUUCUUUUCCCUUUUCUUCCUAUAUUUUUGGCCUGUAUCAAACAGUAAUCAUUAUGAAGACUCAAACGAGCAAAACCUUCGUGCAACCUGCAAAAGCC
rnacentral:misc_RNA from 1 species